CUGCGAAUGGCUCAUUAAAUCAGUUAUCGUUUAUUUGAUAGUACCUUACUACUUGGAUAACCGUGGUAAUUCUAGAGCUAAUACAUGCUAAAAACCCCGACUUCGGGAGGGGUGUAUUUAUUAGAUAAAAAACCAAUGCCCUUCGGGGCUCUUUGGUGAUUCAUAAUAACUUAACGGAUCGCAUGGCCUUGCGCCGGCGACGGUUCAUUCAAAUUUCUGCCCUAUCAACUUUCGAUGGUAAGGUAUUGGCUUACCAUGGUUUCAACGGGUAACGGGGAAUUAGGGUUCGAUUCCGGAGAGGGAGCCUGAGAAACGGCUACCACAUCCAAGGAAGGCAGCAGGCGCGCAAAUUACCCAAUCCCGACUCGGGGAGGUAGUGACAAUAAAUACUGAUACAGGGCUCUUUUGGGUCUUGUAAUCGGAAUGAGUACAAUUUAAACCCCUUAACGAGGAACAAUUGGAGGGCAAGUCUGGUGCCAGCAGCCGCGGUAAUUCCAGCUCCAAUAGCGUAUAUUAAAGUUGUUGCAGUUAAAAAGCUCGUAGUUGAACCUUGGGCCUGGCUGGCCGGUCCGCCUCACCGCGUGUACUGGUCCGGCCGGGCCUUUCCUUCUGGAGAGCCGCAUGCCCUUCACUGGGUGUGUUGGGGAACCAGGACUUUUACUUUGAAAAAAUUAGAGUGUUCAAAGCAGGCCUUUGCUCGAAUACGUUAGCAUGGAAUAAUAGAAUAGGACGUGCGGUCCUAUUUUGUUGGUUUCUAGGACCGCCGUAAUGAUUAAUAGGGAUAGUCGGGGGCAUCAGUAUUCAAUUGUCAGAGGUGAAAUUCUUGGAUUUAUUGAAGACUAACUACUGCGAAAGCAUUUGCCAAGGAUGUUUUCAUUAAUCAGUGAACGAAAGUUAGGGGAUCGAAGACGAUCAGAUACCGUCGUAGUCUUAACCGUAAACUAUGCCGACUAGGGAUCGGGCGAUGUUUCUAUCUUGACUCGCUCGGCACCUUACGAGAAAUCAAAG
rnacentral:rRNA from 1 species